rnacentral:piRNA from 1 species
UACAAAUAAGGGAACUAAGUGCCUUCUGC